rnacentral:tRNA from 1 species
GCCUGGGUGGCUCAGUCGGUUAAGUGUCUGACUUCGGCUCAGGUCAUGAUCUCACGGUCUGUGGGUUCGAGCCCCGCCUCGGGCU